ACUCUUGGGGAGUAGCUACCCGCUGUUGCGGGGCCAUCGUCAACAUCCUUGAACCUUCCGGUUCGUGGCGAUGGCAGCAGAUUUUGAUCUGCCCGGCGAGACCAACGAUGCGCUACCUCUCUCGUGGCCGGAGGUGGAUUGCGUCGUUCGGUUGACGGCCCUUG
rfam:Sphingomonas sp. 66-10 SCNpilot_cont_300_bf_scaffold_2345, whole genome shotgun sequence.